rnacentral:rRNA from 1 species
AGUUACCAGCACGUAUGGUGGGCACUCUAAGGAGACUGCCGGUGACAAACCGGAGGAAGGUGGGGAUGACGUCAAGUCAUCAUGGCCCUUACGGCCUGGGCUACACACGUGCUACAAUGGUCGGUACAAAGGGUUGCCAAGCCGCGAGGUGGAGCUAAUCCCAUAAAACCGAUCGUAGUCCGGAUCGCAGUCUGCAACUCGACUGCGUGAAGUCGGAAUCGCUAGUAAUCGUGAAUCAGAAUGUCACGGUGAAUACGUUCCCGGGCCUU